rnacentral:misc_RNA from 1 species
UGGCGUGUGCAGGAAUUGCGUUUGAAGGGGGUGUUUGCACGGGCGAUUGCGUGGCUCUAGCCGAAGACAUUCCUGGCUCAUUCAGCGGUAUUAUCGACGCAGCGCAUGAGCUUGGGCACAGCUUAGGAGCUUCGCAUGACGGAACGGAACCAAACCGAUAUAUUCGAGGUCACCCUGGCUCAUUGAAGUGUCCAGCUCAAAGUGGCCAUUUAAUGACGUACGUGGAUGGUGGUCCCCUUCGAUACAAGUUUUCCGAAUGCAACCAGGAGGAAAUCCGCUACGUGCUUAACAUGCGGGGAAAGACGUGUUGGAACAUCAACGCUUUGACUUUCUACUCCGUCAAGGACGUUUAUCCAGGAGCCUUACUCAGUCCCACGGACUUCUGUAGGAGAUUUUAUAAGAACAACGAUGUAUACAGUCCAAUGAAAUGCUUCCAAGGGGUUUGUACAAGCG